rnacentral:rRNA from 1 species
GACGAACGCUGGCGGCGUGCUUAACACAUGCAAGUCGAACGGAAAGGCCCCUUCUGGGGUGCUCGCUUGGCUAACAGAUGGGUAACACGUGAGUAACCUACCCUUGACUUCGUUUUGACUUCAUUAAAGUGAGUCUAAUACCGGAUAGGAAUCCUUUCUGCCUGCAUGGGGUUGGAAAGCUUGGGGGGUUUGGUGUGGACUCGCUGGCUAUCUGCUUGUUUGUGGGGUGGUGGCUUACCAAGGCUUUGACGGGUAGCCGGCCGGGGAGGGCGACCGGCCACAGUGGGGCUUGGGUAAGGCCCAGACUUCUACGGGAGGCAGGAGGUGGGAAUAAUGGCAAAUGGGGGGGAGCCUGAUGCAGCAACGCCGCGGGCGGGAAGACGGGCUUCGGGUUGGAAACCGGUUUCAGCAGGGGCGGAGCUGGUGGUGACGGUACCUGGAGAAGAAGCACCGGCUAACUACGUG